AGCGUGAUAAGUAGCUGGUGACUAUAUAGUAAUACAACAAACAAACUGGAAAAGUAGGACGCUGAUAGGAUUUAACUUGAGAUGAGAUAUAGAUCUAACAGUCUUUACCAGUUCAUGUCUCAAGAUCUACCCGCCGUUUCACCUUUGCACUAGCUAGCUGCAUUAAAACGCAACUACUGCUAUAGAAUUGAGCAGUUGGCUGAUGGCGACUUCACAACGAGACACCUGGAGAACACGUUCAAAAGUCACGUGAUACACAUUCAAGACCAUGAGAAAGUCACGUGAUACACAUUCAAGACCAAAAGAAAAGUCACGUGAUACACACUCAAGACCAAAAGAAAAGUCACGUGAUACACAUUCAAGACCAAAAGAAAAGUCACGUGAUACACACUCUCAAGACUAAAAGAAAAGUCACGUGAUACACAUUCAAGACCAAAUGAAAAGUCACGUGAUACACAUUCAAUACCAAAAAGAAAAGAACAUCUAAAUCGAAUACCGGAGGACAAUGAUUAUGCCUGCGCUAGAUGGGGCAAAGUAUGUAAGUCGCAACUUGGGCUACGUAGCCACGGAAAAUACUGAAUUCCUCAUUAAUCCUCGAACUCAAGGGCAAGCCUUAUUUUUAUUAUCAAACAAUGAAACAGAAAAAAAAAAAAAAAAAAACAGAAAAUUUAGAUCGCGUUUAGAAAACCAACUAUACGUUACUAUCUUAAAAUUCAGACGAAAGAAUAUUCGAUACAUUUAGUUACUACCUACAUGUCAUUUAUUGAAAAUGUGUUUGUUAUUGAAAUAAAAAAUUUAGACUAGACUUA